GACGUAGGGCGCGAGCGUUGUCCGGAUUUAUUGGGCGUAAAGAGCUCGUAGGCGGCUUGUUGCGUCGACCGUGAAAACCCGCGGCUUAACUGUGGGCUUGCGGUCGAUACGGGCGGGCUGGAGUUCGGUAGGGGAGACUGGAAUUCCUGGUGUAGCGGUGAAAUGCGCAGAUAUCAGGAGGAACACCGGUGGCGAAGGCGGGACUCUGGGCCGAUACUGACGCUGAGGAGCGAAAGCGUGGGGAGCGAACAGG
rnacentral:rRNA from 1 species